rnacentral:rRNA from 1 species
UGGCGGCAGGCCUAACACAUGCAAGUCGAGCGGUAGAGAGGUGCUUGCACCUCUUGAGAGCGGCGGACGGGUGAGUAAUGCCUAGGAAUCUGCCUGGUAGUGGGGGAUAACGCUCGGAAACGGACGCUAAUACCGCAUACGUCCUACGGGAGAAAGCAGGGGACCUUCGGGCCUUGCGCUAUCAGAUGAGCCUAGGUCGGAUUAGCUAGUUGGUGGGGUAAUGGCUCACCAAGGCGACGAUCCGUAACUGGUCUGAGAGGAUGAUCAGUCACACUGGAACUGAGACACGGUCCAGACUCCUACGGGAGGCAGCAGUGGGGAAUAUUGGACAAUGGGCGAAAGCCUGAUCCAGCCAUGCCGCGUGUGUGAAGAAGGUCUUCGGAUUGUAAAGCACUUUAAGUUGGGAGGAAGGGCAUUAACCUAAUACGUUAGUGUUUUGACGUUACCGACAGAAUAAGCACCGGCUAACUCUGUGCCAGCAGCCGCGGUAAUACAGAGGGUGCAAGCGUUAAUCGGAAUUACUGGGCGUAAAGCGCGCGUAGGUGGUUUGUUAAGUUGGAUGUGAAAGCCCCGGGCUCAACCUGGGAACUGCAUUCAAAACUGACAAGCUAGAGUAUGGUAGAGGGUGGUGGAAUUUCCUGUGUAGCGGUGAAAUGCGUAGAUAUAGGAAGGAACACCAGUGGCGAAGGCGACCACCUGGACUGAUACUGACACUGAGGUGCGAAAGCGUGGGGAGCAAACAGGAUUAGAUACCCUGGUAGUCCACGCCGUAACACGAUGUCAACUAGCCGUUGGGAGCCUUGAGCUCUUAGUGGCGCAGCUAACGCAUUAAGUUGACCGCCUGGGGAGUACGGCCGCAA